rnacentral:rRNA from 1 species
UGGGGGAUAUUGCGCAAUGGGGGAAACCCUGACGCAGCAACGCCGCGUGAAGGAUGAAGGUUUUCGGAUUGUAAACUUCUUUUAUUUAGGACGAAGAAUGACGGUACUAAAUGAAUAAGCUCCGGCUAACUACGUGCCAGCAGCCGCGGUAAAACGUAGGUCACAAGCGUUGUCCGGAAUUACUGGGUGUAAAGGGAGCGCAGGCGGGAGAACAAGUUGGAAGUGAAAUCCAUGGGCUCAACCCAUGAACUGCUUUCAAAACUGUUUUUCUUGAGUAGUGCAGAGGUAGGCGGAAUUCCCGGUGUAGCGGUGGAAUGCGUAGAUAUCGGGAGGAACACCAGUGGCGAAGGCGGCCUACUGGGCACCAACUGACGCUGAGGCUCGAAAGUGUGGGUAGCAAACAGGAUUAGAUACCCUGGUAGUCCACACCGUAAACGAUGAUUACUAGGUGUUGGAGGAUUGACCCCUUCAGUGCCGCAGUUAACACAAUAAGUAAUCCACCUGGGGAGUACGACCGCAAGGUUGAAACUCAAAGGAAUUGACGGGGGCCCGCACAAGCAGUGGAGUAUGUGGUUUAAUUCGACGCAACGCGAAGAACCUUACCAGGUCUUGACAUCGAGUGACGUACUUAGAGAUAAGUAUUUCCUUCGGGACACAAAGACAGGUGGUGCAUGGUUGUCGUCAGCUCGUGUCGUGAGAUGUUGGGUUAAGUCCCGCAACGAGCGCAACCCUUACCAUUAGUUGCUACGCAAGAGCACUCUAGCGAGACUGCCGUUGACAAAACGGAGGAAGGCGGGGACGACGUCAAAUCAUCAUGCCCCUUAUGUCCCGGGCUACACACGUAAUACAAUGGCGGAUAACAAAGGGAAGCAAAGCCGCGAGGUGGAGCAAAUCCCCAAAAUUCGUCUCAGUUCGGAUUGCAGGCUGCAACUCGCCUGCAUGAAGUUGGAAUUGCUAGUAAUCGUAGAUCAGCAUGCUACGGUGAAUACGUUCCC